rnacentral:RNase_P_RNA from 1 species
GCUGCGGGCUGCUCUAUCGCGGCCCCGGCGUUUAUCGCCGGGGAUGAGGAAAGUCCGGACAACGUAGAGCACCACGCCACCUAACGGGUGGGCCGUGACCGUAAGCGUCAUGGACAGAAAGUGCCACAGAAAACUAGACUGCCGACGCCUUUGGGGGAGAAGAAGCGGGCUUUGUCCGCCGAAGCUUCAACGGAGGCGGGCGAGGGUGAAAACGUGCGGUAAGAGCGCACGCCGGCCCGUAGCAAUACGGGCCGGGGGUAAACCUCGUGGGUUGAAAUGCCACGUACACCACGAUUCCUUCCUCUGACGAUGAGCGUGUGCUCCCGUCAGAAAGGGAGGCGGGUUGCUCGCCUGCUUGUCGCCCUUCGGGGUAAUAGUCGUGGGGGGUAGGCAGAUAGACCCUGAUGGUGACGUCAGGGCUAGAUAAAUGAUAGAGGCCGUGGCUUGGGCCUGCCCAACGUCACGGAACAGGAUCCGGCUUACAGGCCCGCAGCAACU